CUGAUAUGCAACACCUGUGAAAGGGUCAUUUGACUCCCAAAGAGGUCACGACCCACAGAUUGAUAAUCACUGCCUAACCUGGUGGCUGGUAUUACCUGCAGUUCAGGAUAUUUGGAACAGCCUUUUAUCAACUUCUUUGGCUUUUAAACCUUAACCACUCUACACUUUGUCCACUUGCUCCAAUGUAUAGAUGGGAUCAGAUGUUGAGAUGAAAGCAUGACUCACCACCUUCCACUGCUUCCACUCCGUAUGCUGGUCCCCACUCAUUUUUCCUGACACAUCGUGCUGAUGAAGGGGAUGACAGCCUGUUCCCCACACUGUGGUCAUCAGUGUGCUGCAGCUGCUUCUGGAAGUAUAGGAUGAACAGACCAACUCAUAAUGAAGAGACAGAGAUUCAGAUAAGAACUGCUUUCUGUAUCUGAAAUUUCCAAUGAAAACCGUAAUAAGAGUAAAUCUGAAGAAAAGACAGCACAGUUCCUUAGGACUUUUAUGUUCAGGAAGAAGUGGAGAAUCUGAAAAUUAAGUGGCUAACCUGAAUUCACACAGCUACUCAGCAAAAGUAAUAGGACUAAUAAACAUACUGUCUCUUGGCUUUCUUUUUUUCAA